UACGUAGGGGGCAAGCGUUGUCCGGAAUCAUUGGGCGUAAAGCGAGCGUAGGCGGCCCGAUAAGUCUGCUGUAAAAGUCAACGGCUCAACCGUUGAAAGCCGGUGGAUACUGUCGGGCUAGAGUUCGGAAGAGGCAAGUGGAAUUCCUGGUGUAGCGGUGGAAUGCGCAGAUAUCAGGAGGAUCACCUAUAGCGAAGGCAGCUUGCUGGGACGAUACUGACGCUAAGGCUCGAAAGCGUGGGGAGCGAACAGG
rnacentral:rRNA from 1 species